UACGAAGGGGGCUAGCGUUGCUCGGAGUCACUGGGCGUAAAGCGCACGUAGGCGGCUUUUUAAGUCAGGGGUGAAAUCCCGGAGCUCAACUCCGGAACUGCCUUUGAUACUGAAAAGCUUGAGUUCGGGAGAGGUGAGUGGAACUGCGAGUGUAGAGGUGAAAUUCGUAGAUAUUCGCAAGAACACCAGUGGCGAAGGCGGCUCACUGGCCCGGUACUGACGCUGAGAUACGAAAGCGUGGGGAGCAAACAGG
rnacentral:rRNA from 1 species